CAUGGCCCUUACGACCAGGGCUACACACGUGCUACAAUGGCGUAUACAAAGGGAGGCGACCUCGCGAGAGUAAGCGGACCUCACAAAGUACGUCUAAGUCCGGAUUGGAGUCUGCAACUCGACUCCAUGAAGUCGGAAUCGCUAGUAAUCGUGAAUCAGAAUGUCACGGUGAAUACGUUCCCGGGCCUUGUACACACCGCCCGUCACACCAUGGGAGUGGGUUGCACCAGAAGUAGAUAGCUUAACCUUCGGGAGGGCGUUUACCACGGUGUGGUUCAUGACUGGGGUGAAGUCGUAACAAGGUAACCGUAGGGGAACCUGCGGUUGGAUCACCUCCUUACGAAG
rnacentral:rRNA from 1 species